ACCGUAGCCCCAGUCCUGCUCUGCCACGCCCCUGAGUAGCACUCUGGCUGUUCAUUCAUUAGCCAAAGUGCUGCUCCUAUAUAACACGCUAACCAGGUAGGAUGAUACAGGUGUUUGUAAUGCACAAGACGCUUCCGGGUAGCAUGCGUUUCGCUGCCGAAGGUCUCGGUUGGAAGACAACGAGCUAACACACCCUGCUGUAUUUUAUAGGAAGACAAGUCCAGGUGUUGGUUGUGAGCUGCCAGGGAGCCCUAUUCUCAGUGUUUGCUCUGUCCGUACCGCAUGAAGAGUGUUGCAGCUGUCUGCGGGGCAGGUCGUCAGAUCUGAGUCCUUUUCUUCGCGCACUGCAUGUAUUGAGUGGUAACGUGCACCUCACCAUUGCUGUGAUACCUGUUUGCAGUGUCUGUGCCUACGUGUGUUGUGUGCAGAGGUGUAGGUGUGUGUGUGUGUGUGUGUGUGGAUGUGUGAGUAGGCAUACGAAUCCAGAGCACGGGUGGUGUGUCGGUCUCACUCCCUUUUUCAGGACAGGUAACCCCCUGCAACAGCUGCUCCCUAUAUCCCUUACCAUUCUGGUGGCAGCCAUUACCUACUCUCUUGCUGUAUUUUAGCAUCAUUUAGCCCUGUAUUAAUAAAUCCUGUUAUUUUUAUACUGGAAUACCUCGUCUCUGUCGUUACUGGGACGUACCUGUAUGAGAGCCCACUUGUCUCUAUCAAAAGGUACAAUUUACACGAACAAUAUAUCUUGGUGUGAAAGUCACCAGGUGGCGUAGUCGCAUCCAGAGCCAAGACCUAACUACCACUAGGUUACAUAUGUCUUGUGUUUUUAUAGUGUAAAUAUGUGUAUAUAUAUGUGUUCAAUCUAUAUUUCUAUUGUUUUUGUGUCAGAGCUGCUACCUUAAUUUCGUUGUACUUGUGCAAUGACAAAUAAAUAUAUUCUAUUCUAAAAAAAACAACAAAAAAAACAAACACAGCCUCAACAGCCCCUACUGCUUGAAUAUUUUCAAAGCAUCAGUACAGAGCAGUUCGGUCUAGCAAUGCAUGCAAAAACCUUGCUAGGUGUCCUCUGCCAAUACAGUUAGCAACAUGAGAGCUUUGGAAGCUUUUCUUAAAUUUUCAAAGGGUUUCCGACCCAGACCACAGAACUACAUAGCACAUAGCCUAGACGGCAAGUGGGGACGACAGAUGUGUUUACAUAUCAUCUGCAUGACCAUACGCCAUCAAAAUUAAUGUAAAGAUGAUACCAAACCUAGUUGCCUAUAAAAACACACCUCAAAAGUGGUGCAUUCCUGCAUACGGUUGCUUUAAAGUCCAUGAAGGAGAAAGGUGAACUGUACAUUCUCCCAUAUGGCCUUCAUCACCUUUUCACACCAGACUUAGAUUCCACUGAUAAUAAAUACGAUCAUUCAUCUGAACCCCUCUGGUACCAGAGGCAUAGAAGGGAACCAUCUGCCUGUACCCAUGAAUCCUAGAACACCUCAUUCCACACAGUGAAAUACUUAGAACUGUUUACUUAUAAGACCAUUGCAAAGCUCUUUGCCUGAGCUCACCUCUUUUGUAGUGACACUUUUCCUGUUAUUUUUGCCCAAAGGAAAGAUCAGAUGCAGGAGAUGUCAUGAUUAACUGAUAGUUCAUUUUCAAUGGUCAGUGCACAUCUCAAGGUUGUCCAAAGCAGUUCGACCAGGCUAACUCUGUUUAGGUGAACUGUCAAUGAGAGGUAUAUGGUGGAGACAUUUACAAGAAGUUACGCUGGGUUCAGCCAAGUAACAGUGUGGAGGAUCUCACCGGAUUGUGUAACACAUAAUUCUCCAGGUACGUGACUUCAAACUGAUGUAAUGUAUCCAUUGAGCUCAGAUGUGUUAUUACAUUUCCCAGAAAAACAGAAAAUCGUCUCUUUAUCUAAUGCAUCUGCUGCUGGGGCCUGCAGACUCCCUCUUCCAGUUGCAGCAAUGCCAAGGAGCAUACAGUUCACUCGCUUUUUAUGCUGCAGUCAUAUCGGUGUAUUAUUUUUGGACUGUUAGUGGUAGCAUCGGUUUAAUUGGCUCUCUGUGUCGAGGUUCUCGUCUGUGUGUUUGGUGGUGGUCUGGACAGAGUCGUGAAGCAUUAAACCCUACUCUCCCCGUAGUUUUUAUCUGCCUGUGUGAUAAUGGGGGUUUU